AGUGAACGCUGGCGGUAGGCCUAACACAUGCAAGUCGAACGGCAGCACAGUAAGAGCUUGCUCUUACGGGUGGCGAGUGGCGGACGGGUGAGGAAUACAUCGGAAUCUACUUUUUCGUGGGGGAUAACGUAGGGAAACUUACGCUAAUACCGCAUACGACCUACGGGUGAAAGCAGGGGAUCUUCUGACCUUGCGCGAUUGAAUGAGCCGAUGUCGGAUUAGCUAGUUGGCGGGGUAAAGGCCCACCAAGGCGACGAUCCGUAGCUGGUCUGAGAGGAUGGUCAGCCACACUGGAACUGAGACACGGUCCAGACUCCUACGGGAGGAAGCAGUGGGGAAUAUUGGACAAAGGGCGCAAGCCUGAUCCAGCCAUACCGCGUGGGUGAAGAAGGCCUUCGGGUUGUAAAGCCCUUUUGUUGGGAAAGAAAAGCAGCAGGUUAAUACGCCGCUGUUCUGACGGUACCGAAAGAAUAAGCACCGGCUAACUUCGUG
rnacentral:rRNA from 1 species